GGACCUGCGGUGCAUUAGCUAGUUGGUAAGGUAACGGCUUACCAAGGCAAUGAUGCAUAGCCGAGUUGAGAGACUGAUCGGCCACAUUGGGACUGAGACACGGCCCAAACUCCUACGGGAGGCAGCAGUAGGGAAUCUUCCACAAUGGACUAAAGUCUGAUGGAGCAACGCCGCGUGAGUGAAGAAGUAUUUCGGUAUGUAAAGCUCUAUCAGCAGGGAAGAAAGAAAUGACGGUACCUGAGUAAGAAGCCCCGGCUAACUACGUGCCAGCAGCCGCGGUAAUACGUAGGGGGCAAGCGUUAUCCGGAAUUACUGGGUGUAAAGGGAGCGUAGACGGUAAAGCAAGUCUGGAGUGAAAGGCUGGGGCCCAACCCCGGGACUGCUCUGGAAACUGUUAAACUGGAGUGCAGGAGAGGCAGGCGGAAUUCCUAGUGUAGCGGUGAAAUGCGUAGAUAUUAGGAGGAACACCAGUGGCGAAGGCGGCCUGCUGGACUGUAACUGACGUUGAGGCUCGAAAGCGUGGGGAGCAAACAGGAUUAGAUACCCUGGUAGUCCACGCCGUAAACGAUGAUUACUAGGUGUAGGUGGGUAUGGACCCAUCGGUGCCGCAGCCAACGCAGUAAGUAAUCCACCUGGGGAGUACGUUCGCAAGAAUGAAACUCAAAGGAAUUGACGG
rnacentral:rRNA from 1 species